GGGGAAUAUUGCACAAUGGGGGCAACCCUGACGCAGCAACGCCGCGUGAAGGAUGAAGGUUUUCGGAUUGUAAACUUCUUUUAUUAAGGACGAAACUUGACGGUACUUAAUGAAUAAGCUCCGGCUAACUACGUGCCAGCAGCCGCGGUAAUACGUAGGGAGCAAGCGUUGUCCGGAUUUACUGGGUGUAAAGGGUGCGUAGGCGGCUUUGCAAGUCAGAUGUGAAAUCUAUGGGCUCAACCCAUAAACUGCAUUUGAAACUGUAGAGCUUGAGUGAAGUAGAGGCAGGCGGAAUUCCCCGUGUAGCGGUGAAAUGCGUAGAGAUGGGGAGGAACACCAGUGGCGAAGGCGGCCUGCUGGGCUUUAACUGACGCUGAGGCACGAAAGCGUGGGUAGCAAACAGGAUUAGAUACCCUGGUAGUCCACGCUGUAAACGAUGAUUACUAGGUGUGGGGGGUCUGACCCCUUCCGUGCCGGAGUUAACACAAUAAGUAAUCCACCUGGGGAGUACGGCCGCAAGGUUGAAACUCAAAGGAAUUGACGGGGGCCCGCACAAGCAGUGGAGUAUGUGGUUUAAUUCGAAGCAACGCGAAGAACCUUACCAGGUCUUGACAUCCAACUAACGAAGUAGAGAUACAUUAGGUGCCCUUCGGGGAAAGUUGAGACAGGUGGUGCAUGGUUGUCGUCAGCUCGUGUCGUGAGAUGUUGGGUUAAGUCCCGCAACGAGCGCAACCCUUGCUAUUAGUUGCUACGCAAGAGCACUCUAAUAGGACUGCCGUUGACAAAACGGAGGAAGGUGGGGACGACGUCAAAUCAUCAUGCCCCUUAUGACCUGGGCUACACACGUACUACAAUGGAUGUUAACAGAGGGAAGCAAGACAGCGAUGUGGAGCAAACCCCUAAAAACAUUCUCAGUUCAGAUUGCAGGCUGCAACCCGCCUGCAUGAAGAUGGAAUUGCUAGUAAUCGCGGAUCAGCAUGCCGCGGUGAAUACGUUCCCG
rnacentral:rRNA from 1 species